UACGUAGGGACCAAGCGUUGUUCGGAUUUACUGGGCGUAAAGGGCGCGUAGGCGGCAUGACAAGUCACUUGUGAAAUCUCCGGGCUUAACUCGGAACGGCCAAGUGAUACUGUCACGCUAGAGUGCAGAAAGGGCAAUCGGAAUUCCUGGUGUAGCGGUGAAAUGCUUAGAUAUGACAUAGAACACCAAUUGCGAAGGCAGCUCACUACACAAUCAUUGACGCUGAGGCACGAAAGCGUGGGGAUCAAACAGG
rnacentral:rRNA from 1 species